rnacentral:lncRNA from 1 species
AAAAUAUAAAAAAAAAUAAAUAAAUACAUCCGUGUUCUCCACCUCACCUCGUUUAUCAAACUGUUGUUUUAGCAAAAUUGGAGGGAGGAUGACGAAAAUAAAAUACCCAUAAUUGUUGACUGUAUGCUUUCGGAUAAGAUCCUGUUGAUGAUGUACAAGCAUUGUUUCAAAUCCCCAAACACUGGAGAGAUAAGGAGUUAAUCCCUAGUCAACCACCUCGAGCCUAGA